GGUUGGUGGGCCCCCGUCGCACUGCGCUAUAAAUAAGAGGUGGGGGCCGGCGGCACUGUUCACGAGUUGAACUGUGGCCACUCCUCCCACCGACAUCCAAACCCGAGAAAAUCCUAAUCCGAUCUAGGGUGCGCAGCCAGCGGCGGGAAUACUCACCGACAUCGGAUCCACGGCGUCCCGACGUCCGCACCGACACCACCGUCAGCGUCAUCGCGGAUCUUCAUCACCAGCGACGUCAUGGCUUCGGGAUCGACCUCCGCCGCGCCUGCUGCUCCUUCCGUCGAUGGUCUAACCCUAUCAACCCGAUCUAUUUAUUCUUUUGCAUUUACAGUACUUGUAGUAGAUCUCGUAUAAGAUAUGCUUUUGUUGUUUACAAAAGAAAAGAUAUGUCCCGUCUAGAUCUAUUACUAGUUGAUCCUGUACAGUUUUAAUCUAUCAAUGGUAUCAGAUCGCCUAACUAGUUAGUGGAUCCAGAUCGGGAUAGAAAGAUCACAGAAAAACCAAACCCUAACUCUAGAACAGAGAACAAAAAAAAAAAAAAAAGAAACAGAGAUCUACGCCGCAAAGACACCACCGCGGGGCUACUCGACGGUGCCGCGCGCGGCUCCGGCCGCACGCGUGCUCCGGCGAGGGGCGCCGCAGCGGCGCUGCUCCACUUCUUCCUCGGGUCCAGUCGCAAAGGGCGACCACAUGCUACUGCUACUCGCUUUUGCGGUAUGGUGGCAGAGAGAACAAGAGAGAGAGGGAGAAGGGUAGCAGCCGGAACAGUCCCGGCGGCGCAACCACCGGCGCCGUGGCCUCCAUGGCCGCCGACGAGUCGGGUGCUGCCCUGGCGGCGCUGUGCAGGAAGAAAGAGAGCAGAGAGAGAAAAUGGAAAACAAAAUGAGCUAGGGUUUGAGGGAGCCGGCCGGCUGGGGGCUUUUAUACCCACCGAUUUUCGCUCUCAGCCGUCGGAUCCAAAUGGAUGGAUCAGAUUCGCUGCCACCGAAUCGGGCCAGAAUCGGCCCAGGCGGGGGCGACUUUCCCGGCCCAGGCCCAGGUUGCGGCCUGGGACCGCGGGGCACCUGCGCUCUGCUCCACUCUUGGGCCGUUUUGGCCACUGGGCCGAGACCAGAUGACAAAAAAAAAAAAAAAAAAAAACCCGGCCGCUGGGCCGCACAGAGCCGGGCCGCGCGCGCGCCAGCCGCUGCUGGGCCGCGUGGGCCGCGAGUGACGCCAGGCCGAAAUGGCCGGUUUUACACAGUAAAAUAGCACAGUUUUUUUUUCUUUUUUCUUUUUCUUUUUCCAGAAGCAGUUUUAUGCAUAUUUAAUUAAAUUUUGCACAGUUUUCAUUGCUUUUCUCUGCAUAAAUUUUGUCCAACGAUAAUUUUAUUCAGAGAACAGUAAGUAUUCAGAUGUUUCUGAAAAAUAGAUAAAGAAAUUAUUAAAGUUUCCGCUGCGUAUUUACAGAUAUUUGUUUCACUAUUAAAUUCGAACCAACGGGAGAAUUUAAUUUUGAAAAUAGAUAUGUUUUCCAGAUUAUUAUAAUAUUGUUAUUAUUCUGACCAACGUUGAUUAAUGGCAGUAUUAUGAUGUAAUUAAAAGAUUAUUAUGCAUUAAUUCUAUUUCUGCCCAACGGUGAUAUAGUUUUAUUGCAUAAACAGUUGUAUGUUUUAAUUUUGACCAACGUUGAUACUAAGGCAUACAAUUGUGAUUAUUCAUGUUCUCACCCAGAGGUUUGUGUUUCAGGAGCUUACUCGUUGAUGACGUUCAUCAACACCAUUCCACCACUCAAAGGGGACAACUACGUUGAGUGGAGGAAAAAGAUCGACAUGGCCUUCACCUUUGCUGAGGUGGACUGGGUCCUUGACACAGAGCGUCCCGUCCAGCCCGUGCCACCUGUGCGGGCAACAGAUGAGACAGAUGAUGCAUGGCAGAAAAGAGAAAGAGAGUUUGCUCCCAUCCAGAUGUCUUAUGACCUUGAAAAGAAAAAGUGGGAAUCAGCAAACAAGAAAUGUAAAACGCUUGUACAGAACACGAUGGAGUCUCACAUAUCAGAUUCCAUUCCAGUAGUAGACAGCGUUAAAGAUUACCUAGAUACUAUAAAGAGGCAGUUUACUGGCUCUACAAAAACGUAUGCAACAGAAAUGAUCAAAGAACUGAUCUCACAGAAAUAUACUGGUGGUGGCACUGGUAUUAGAGAGCACAUCCUUAGAAUGAGUCACUUGGCAUCUAAAAUCAAAAAGUUCAAGGAUCUCACCAUCACUGACGCUUUCCUUGUUCAUUUGGUUUUUGCGUCGUUGCCAAAAGAAUUUGAAACCUUUGUUGUUAACUACAACAUGCAACCAGAAACAUGGGACUUAGAAAAGACUAUUGCUAUGUGUGCUCAAGAAGAAGAGAGAAUCAAAGCCUCAAAUGGUGGUUCAAUCAACCAUUUGAGGGACAACAAGAAAAAGAUUUACCAUUCUCCUUCAAAGAACAAGGGAAAGGGCCCUAUGCAGCAACAGGGCAAGCCUUCCACCCAGCACCAGGGCCAGCCUACCAUGCAGCAUCUUCCUCAACAGAACCAGUUUGUAGUGAACCAAAACCAAUGUCUCUACUGCAAGAAAGAAGGACACUACAAGAAAAGAUGCCCUGAUUGGCUACAAAUGAAACUCAGAUCAUGUGGGGUUCAGCUCGACAAGGACGACAACAAGAAGAGAAAGACACAUUAGAGUGGCGAAUGGAGUCAGAGCAGAUGUUGAAGCUGUUGGCGAUGUCUCCCUGGAGCUUGCUAGUGGCUUCACACUUUUACUUAGAGAUGUCCUUUAUGUUCCUUCGCUUCAGAGAAAUUUGAUUAGUGUUUCACGUUUGGACGAUGAUAAUUUUGCUUGUCAUUUUGGUGAUGGCAAGUGCCAGAUUUAUUGUAAUAAUGACUGUGUUGGUGUUGCAUUCCAACAACAAGAUCUUUAUUUAUUAUCGCUUCGUGAAACAGUGAAUUCCGUAUGUGAUGCUACAGAAAACACGUCCUUGUCUCAGAGUGAGAAUAGAAAAAGAAAGCGAACUCAAGAUGUAUCGUCGAAAUUAUGGCAUUGUCGUUUAGGCCACAUUUCGAGGGGGAGAAUAGAGAUAUUAGUAAAGAAUGAAAUUCUUCCUCCACUUGAGUUCUCAGAAUUAGAUCAAUGCAUAGACUGCAUUAAAGGAAAAUUUGCAAAGAAAAUUAAAAAGAAUGCCAAAAGAAGCACUGGGAUUUUAGAAAUAAUCCACACGGACAUCUGUGGACCGUUUCCUGUGAAAAGUAUGGAUGGCUAUGACUCGUUCAUAACAUUCACAGAUGAUUACUCCCGAUUUGGGUAUAUUUAUCCAAUUAAAGAAAGAACAGAGGCAUUAGAUAAGUUCAAGAUAUUUAAGGCUGAAGUUGAAAAUCAGCACAACUUAAAGAUUAAGAUAGUCAGAUCCGACCGUGGAGGGGAGUACUAUGGUCGGCACACCCCUUAUGGCCAAGUUCCUGGACCUUUUGCAAAGUUCUUACAGGAGCAUGGCAUAGUAGCCCAGUAUUCUACACCGGGCGAGCCUCAGCAGAAUGGAGUAGCUGAAAGACGCAACCGUACCCUGAUGGAUAUGGUGCGAAGUAUGAUUAGUUACUCUACAUUACCACUAAGUUUGUGGAUGGAGGCAUUAAAAAACCGCCAUUCACAUUCUAAACGGAGUUCCCAGUAAAUCGGUGCCUAAAACACCGUACGAGUUGUGGACAGGAAGAGUUCCCUCGCUAAGCCACUUGCGUGUGUGGGGGAGCCCAGCUGAGGCUAAAGUAUUUAACCCAAACAUUGGAAAGCUAGAUCCCAAAACAGUCAGUUGCCAUUUCAUUGGCUACCCAGAAAAAUCAAAGGGUUAUCGUUUCUACUGUCCAGACAGAUAUACAAAGUUUGUAGAAACGAGACACGCCGUAUUUCUAGAGGAUGAGCUGAUCAGGGGGAGCGUGGUAGCUCGAAAGAUUGAUCUUGAAGAGAAGCGGGUGUAUGCACCCACUCCGAUGAUUCAAGAGCCAUUUUUUGAAUUACCCAUAGUGAAUGCACCAACAGUGCCCGACACUGUGAUGCCAGAAACAAUUGCUCACUCUCCUGUGGCAACAACAGAUGAAAAUGAGGAACCUGUCCUUCAGGAGCCCAUAGAAGAACCAGUUGCCACAGGCGAGGGGGAGCAACAACAGCCCCAACCAGAUCAAGUGCCAACUGUGGAGGCACCGAGAAGAUCUCAAAGAAUCAGAAGGUCAGCUAUCCCAGAUGACUAUGAAGUUUUUAACACAGAGGAAUUUCAUAUGGAGGGUGAUCCCACCUCAUAUGAUGAGGCCAUGAGAAGCGCCAACUCACAGAAGUGGCUAGAAGCUAUGAUAGAAGAGAUGAAAUCCAUGAACUCCAAUGGAGUUUGGGAUUUAGAAGAAAUUCCUAAAGGAGCCAAAACAGUAGGCUGUAAAUGGGUCUACAAAACCAAGUAUGACUCCCAAGGGAACGUAGAAAGAUUUAAAGCGCGACUUGUGGCAAAAGGCUUUACGCAAAGAGAAGGGAUUGAUUACAAUGAGACUUUUUCUCCAGUCUCAUGUAAGGAUUCCUUCAGGAUCAUAAUGGCUCUAGUAGCACAUUAUGAUUUAGAAUUACAUCAGAUGGAUGUUAAGACGGCUUUCCUACAUGGGGAUUUGGAGGAAAAUGUUUACAUGGCACAACCGAAAGGUUUUGUCAUGGAAGGAAAAGAGCGAAUGGGAUGCCGCCUAAAGAAAUCCAUUUAUGGAUUAAAACAAGCUUCAAGACAGUGGUAUUUGAAGUUUGAUGAGACCAUAAGAAGUUUUGGGUUUAAACAGAAUGUAGAGGACAACUGUGUUUAUGCAAAGUUUAAGAAUGGGAAGUACAUCUUCCUAAUCUUGUAUGUGGAUGAUAUCCUACUCGCAAGUAGCGAUGUCGGUCUACUGCAGGAAACAAAGAAAUUCUUGUCCUCGAAAUUUGACAUGAAAGAUCUUGGUGAAGCAUCAUAUGUUUUGGGCAUAGAGAUUCACCGAGAUAGAACGAAGGGGGUAUUGGGAUUAUCACAGAAAGCAUAUAUAGAAAAAGUUCUAGAGAGAUACAAUAUGCACAAAUGUAGUGCAUCACCUGCACCGAUAGUCAAGGGCGACAGAUAUGGGGAUUUUCAGUGUCCCAAGAAUGAGUAUGAGCUCAACCAGAUGAGAUCAGUUCCAUAUGCUUCGGCUGUUGGAAGUUUACAGUACGCUCAAGUAUGUACUCGCCCUGACUUAGCUUUUGUUACCGGGUUGCUUGGCAGAUUUCAGAGUAAUCCAGGUGUGGAACACUGGAAAUUAGUAAAGAAGGUCUUGCGUUAUUUGCAAGGAACAAAGAGCCUCAUGCUUACAUACAAGAGAUCAGAUUCCCUACAGAUAGUAGGAUAUUCAGAUUCAGAUUAUGCGGGAGAUAACAGAAAGUCCACGUCAGGCUAUGUAUUUACUCUCGCAAAUGGAGCCAUAUCGUGGAAAAGCAAAUUACAGACGGUCACUACAUCGUCCACAAUGUAUGCCGAAUUUGUAGCAUGUUUUGAGGCGUCGGGGCAGGUGAACUGGUUAAAGAAGUUCAUACCCGGUUUGAGAGUGGUUGAUAACAUCUCUAAACCACUACAGUUAUACUGCGAUAAUAAUCCAGCAGUAGAAUAUGCACACAACAAUAGGUCAAGUGGUGCUGCCAAACACAUUGACAUAAAGUACUAUGUUGUGAAAGAUAAGAUCCGGGAUCAUGUCAUAAAGCUUGAGCAUAUAAGCACUGAAAAGAUGCUUGCGGAUCCGCUUACCAAAGGCUUACCACCCAGCGUGUUUAGAGAACACGUAGCCGGCAUGGGUUUAAGGGAAAGCCUAUGACUCCUGGACAAAGAGGCCCAAAGAAUAACAGAAUUUGUUUCAGAUCAGAGAAGUGUAUUCGUAGCUGUCAAGUCUAUCGGCGAUAGACCGUGAUGAUGACGCAGUUCUAUGCACUAAUUUGUGAUGAAAUAAAUAAGGUAAAAGAGUUUGAAAAGAAAGAAUACAGACAAAGAAUAGAGUGAGAUCAAGGGGGAGAAUGUUGGUUUGAUCUCCCACCAAUAUGGCCCAACGGCCUUAUUGGGCCUUGUCUCGCGCCCUGAUCGGGGGCGCCCAACCCUAUAUGGUUGGUGGGCCCCCGUCGCACUGCGCUAUAAAUAAGAGGUGGGGGCCGGCGGCACUGUUCACGAGUUGAACUGUGGCCACUCCUCCCACCGACAUCCAAACCCGAGAAAAUCCUAAUCCGAUCUAGGGUGCGCAGCCAGCGGCGGGAAUACUCACCGACAUCGGAUCCACGGCGUCCCGACGUCCGCACCGACACCACCGUCAGCGUCAUCGCGGAUCUUCAUCACCAGCGACGUCAUGGCUUCGGGAUCGACCUCCGCCGCGCCUGCUGCUCCUUCCGUCGAUGGUCUAACCCUAUCAACCCGAUCUAUUUAUUCUUUUGCAUUUACAGUACUUGUAGUAGAUCUCGUAUAAGAUAUGCUUUUGUUGUUUACAAAAGAAAAGAUAUGUCCCGUCUAGAUCUAUUACUAGUUGAUCCUGUACAGUUUUAAUCUAUCA
rnacentral:lncRNA from 1 species